rnacentral:lncRNA from 1 species
ACACAUAGCAAGUGGACAGCUAGAAGCUAUCUCAUCAGAAUUGUGAGACAGUGCAUUUCUGUUGUUUCAUUUUAGCUUGUGGCAUUUUUUAUGGCGGCCUGGAAACUAGACACCCCCUAACAAACUUGCUUUGCAUGUCUUGUAUUCCAGGGCAUAACUCAUACAACCUGUCUAAGGGCCAGCCCACAUACAGAAGUGAGGGGGAAUUGCUGAUUGGUGGUCUGAAGAAUGGACACUUUUCAGUUCUCCAACACUUCCCAUCUGUAUCAGGCUGCAACCGAGCUCUUCCUAUCAUCCUGUAAGCUGUUCCUCACUCCCUCCUCCUCCAUAGGAUUUGUGUUGGAGUCUGUGGAGCAUCGUUGAUCAUCUUGGCCACUUGUGGUAUACACUGAUGCAACUCAUAACAGCUUUAUUUUACUUCUGGAAGAAGAAG